CUCCAGUGUAAUAUAUUAUAACGUGAUAUCCAGUCUACUCAGUAGAAGAAUUUAUAAAUACAUGAGUAUAGGAUGGAUGGACAUGUUGCACACACAGGAGAUAUAAGAAACAUAAGAUGUUGGUCAGAAAACCCAAAGGAAAGAGACAGGUGUUCUUCACACUUUAGCAUGAUUAAAGGACUACCUUAUGGACCCAUUCAUGUCUGUCUGUCUGUGACAAAUUUUUCCUAUGAGGUCUUUCACCAUGAUGGAUUAGAACACCAGAGAUGCCCACUAUGGGCUUGGCCACACAUGUUGGUAAGCCACCUCUGGCACCUGCAUUUCCUUGAGAAAACCCUACAGAUUUACCCGUCUUGCUCCAAUCCAGGGUUGACAUCCCCACACCUUUACAAACCAGACAAAUCACCAGCAUUUUUGCUCAAUGAGACUGUACCCCCAGCACUUGCUGUUUCAUAGGCUUUCCCUCCAGGCUUUCAGAAUUCAUAGCUUUGCCAUUGCUGGACUUGAUGUUACUGGGCUGUCGCCAUUGAGGGUUAGACUACCCAGGGCUGGCUACACAGAGGCAUGAAACAGAAGAUGUGAGGGAAACACGGUUUAGCAACCAUGCGGUUAGGAGAAGAGGUGAUGAAGUUGUGGUGACCAUAUAACUGGGAAUGGAGUGAUAGGUAUAUAUCUGAUGAAGAAAUUCUGUUUUUUGAGUUUCAUUAUCAUGUUUUCUGCCAUUGGACCAUUUUCUGUGAAGUCCAAACUUCAUGUCAAUUUUAAUACUGAUCUUCCCAUCUGUGCCCAGGUUUUUCAUAUAGUCUCUUCCCUUGAUGAGAUUUUUUGACUGAAGUUGUGCGCUUUUCAGCUAUUUUGGUUUCAUCACUAACAGUACAAGGUGAAAGGUACAACUGUUGAGGCUCCUUAUUAUGUAAUUUUUUCCUUGCUCCUGUUACUUCCUUUUAAGUAUUCUCAGCACAGUUUUCAAGCACUGUCUGUGUUUUUGACAUAGAAGAUUAAGACGACCAGGUAUGACCCAAUAGCUUGAUCAUAGUUUACUAUUCUAUAAUUCAUUUUGGUUUAAUGUAACAGAUGAAGUGUGCAUUUUAUCUUGAGGUUUUAAGAUGGAACACACUGAAAUAGUUUUUAUACUGAAGGGUGGAUUAAUGCAUUUGUUUCCUACCUGUUUUGAUGUAGAUGUAAUCAGUAUUUACAUCGU